rnacentral:rRNA from 1 species
UACGUAGGUGGCAAGCGUUAUCCGGAUUUAUUGGGCGUAAAGGGAACGCAGGCGGUCUUUUAAGUCUGAUGUGAAAGCCUUCGGCUUAACCGGAGUAGUGCAUUGGAAACUGGGAGACUUGAGUGCAGAAGAGGAGAGUGGAACUCCAUGUGUAGCGGUGAAAUGCGUAGAUAUAUGGAAGAACACCAGUGGCAAAAGCGGCUCUCUGGUCUGUAACUGACGCUGAGAUUCGAAAGCGUGGGUAGCAAACAGG